rnacentral:rRNA from 1 species
AUUGAACGCUGGCGGCAGGCCUAACACAUGCAAGUCGAACGAGUGGCGGACGGGUGAGUAAUUUCUGGGAAACUGCCUGAUGGAGGGGGAUAACUACUGGAAACGGUAGCUAAUACCGCCUACCAUCGGAUGUGCCCAGAUGGGAUUAGCUAGUAGGUGGGGUAAAGGCUCACCUAGGCGACGAUCCCUAGCUGGUCUGAGAGGAUGACCAACAAAACUGAAACGGAGACACGGUCCAGACUCCUACGGGAGGCACCAGUGGGGAAUAUUGCACAAUGGGCGCAAGCCUGAUGCAGCCAUGCCGCGUAGAUGAAGAAGGCCUUCGGGUUGUAAAGUACUUUCAGCGGGGAGGCGUUACCCGAAGAAGAAGCACCGGCUAACUCCGUGCCAGCAGCCGCGGUAAUUC